UACAGAGGUCCCAAGCGUUGUUCGGAUUUACUGGGCGUAAAGGGUGCGUAGGUGGCGGGGUAAGUCUGGUGUGAAAGCUCCGAGCUCAACUCGGAAAAGCAUUGGAAACUAUUCCGCUAGAGGGUCGGAGGGGAGACUGGAAUUCUCGGUGCAGCAGUGAAAUGCGUAGAUAUCGAGAGGAACACCAGUGGCGAAGGCGAGUCUCUGGACGACUCCUGACACUGAGGCACGAAAGCUAGGGGAGCAAACAGG
rnacentral:rRNA from 1 species